rnacentral:rRNA from 1 species
GACGAACGCUGGCGGCGUGCUUAACACAUGCAAGUCGAACGGAAAGGCCCUGCUUUUGUGGGGUGCUCGAGUGGCGAACGGGUGAGUAACACGUGAGUAACCUGCCCUUGACUUUGGGAUAACUUCAGGAAACUGGGGCUAAUACCGGAUAGGAGCUCCUGCUGCAUGGUGGGGGUUGGAAAGUUUCGGCGGUUGGGGAUGGACUCGCGGCUUAUCAGCUUGUUGGUGGGGUAGUGGCUUACCAAGGCUUUGACGGGUAGCCGGCCUGAGAGGGUGACCGGCCACAUUGGGACUGAGAUACGGCCCAGACUCCUACGGGAGGCAGCAGUGGGGAAUAUUGCACAAUGGGCGGAAGCCUGAUGCAGCAACGCCGCGUGCGGGAUGACGGCCUUCGGGUUGUAAACCGCUUUCGCCUGUGACGAAGCGUGAGUGACGGUAAUGGGUAAAGAAGCACCGGCUAACUACGUGCCAGCAGCCGCGGUGAUACGUAGGGUGCGAGCGUUGUCCGGAUUUAUUGGGCGUAAAGGGCUCGUAGGUGGUUGAUCGCGUCGGAAGUGUAAUCUUGGGGCUUAACCCUGAGCGUGCUUUCGAUACGGGUUGACUUGAGGAAGGUAGGGGAGAAUGGAAUUCCUGGUGGAGCGGUGGAAUGCGCAGAUAUCAGGAGGAACACCAGUGGCGAAGGCGGUUCUCUGGGCCUUUCCUGACGCUGAGGAGCGAAAGCGUGGGGAGCGAACAGGCUUAGAUACUCUGGUAGUCCACGCUGUAAACGGUGGGUACUAGGUGUGGGGUCCAUUCCACGGGUUCCGUGCCGUAGCUAACGCUUUAAGUACCCCGCCUGGGGAGUACGGCCGCAAGGCUAAAACUCAAAGGAAUUGACGGGGCCCCGCACAAGCGGCGGAGCAUGCGGAUUAAUUCGAUGCAACGCGUAGAACCUUACCUGGGUUUGACAUGGAUCGGGAGUGCUCAGAGAUGGGUGUGCCUCUUUUGGGGUCGGUUCACAGGUGGUGCAUGGCUGUCGUCAGCUCGUGUCGUGAGAUGUUGGGUUAAGUCCCGCAACGAGCGCAACCCUUGUUCACUGUUGCCAGCACGUUAUGGUGGGGACUCAGUGGAGACCGCCGGGGUCAACUCGGAGGAAGGUGGGGAUGACGUCAAGUCAUCAUGCCCCUUAUGUCCAGGGCUUCACGCAUGCUACAAUGGCUGGUACAGAGAGUGGCGAGCCUGUGAGGGUGAGCGAAUCUCGGAAAGCCGGUCUCAGUUCGGAUUGGGGUCUGCAACUCGACCUCAUGAAGUCGGAGUCGCUAGUAAUCGCAGAUCAGCAACGCUGCGGUGAAUACGUUCCCGGG